CCUACGGGUGGCAGCAGUGAGGAAUAUUGGUCAAUGGACGAGAGUCUGAACCAGCCAAGUCGCGUGAAGGAUGACUGCCCUAUGGGUUGUAAACUUCUUUUAUAAAGGAAUAAAACGAGGCAAGUGUGCCUUUUUGCAUGUACUUUAUGAAUAAGGAUAGGCUAACUCCGUGCCAGCAGCCGCGGUAAUGCGGAGGAUCCGAGCGUUAUCCGGAUUUAUUGGGUUUAAAGGGAGCGUAGAUGGGUUGUUAAGUCAGUUGUGAAAGUUUGCGGCUCAACCGUAAAAUUGCAAUUGAUACUGGCAGUCUUGAGUAAAGUUGAGGUAGGCGGAAUUCGUGGUGUAGCGGUGAAAUGCUUAGAUAUCACGAAGAACCCCGAUUGCGAAGGCAGCUUACUAAACUGUGACUGACAUUGAUGCUCGAAAGUGUGGGUAGCAAACAGGAUUAGAUACCCUAGUAGUC
rnacentral:rRNA from 1 species